UAGCACAUGAUAAUGUUUGGUGCCAUUAUUGAAGAUAAUGAUGGCUUUAUUUGGUGGAAUGAAUCAUCAUGAACUAGCAUUCAUGUUUCUUCAUUAUCUCUCUCAUUUCUAAACGAAAUUUCGUGAUUCCAAAUCCUAUGAACUCCUAGAACAUUUCUAAGUGUGGACUAACUAGAGGCAUCACAAUUGGGGUGUUUUAAGGAUCUCAAAUCGUGGCAAAACAGAAGCUGUUCGUGCAGAGGUUUAUUUUCUGGACAGUGUUCGUAACUUGCUGUUUUCAGUCAUUUUCUCCUACUUCACAAAGUCAUUUUUGAAACUACAAGUGAAGUAAUUAAACUUCAAUCUUUCCUCUUGAUUUUCAUUUUUGAAUGAAGCCUAUCCGAGGUUUCUAGAGCUUCCGCCAUCCGUUUUAAUUUUAUUGCACAAA
rnacentral:lncRNA from 1 species